AAUAAACCAAUUUUUUAUUUUUUAUCUUUAAUUUUUGACUUUUCGUCUUAUUUAAAAAAUUUUUGCGAUUGAUAUUUUUAUUUUUAUUAGAUGAUAAAUCAUAAAUAAUACUUUACGUCUGACUAAUUUUUUUUAAUUUUCUAAAAAAUUUUUAAAUAAGACGAAUGGUCACACGUUGGACACGAAAACCGAAAAAUUCGUUUUUU
rnacentral:pre_miRNA from 1 species